AGUACUUACACCCAUCCUUGAUCAAGCGGAGUUCGUGAAUUAGUUUACGUUUUCCGGUCGCGAAACAGUUCGGAUUUUUCUCGGGCUUCCUUGCGCAAGAUGAUGGCGUCCAUCUCCGGUAGCUUGGCCGAAGCCUACGUGAUGAAGAAGAUAUACAAGGAGAAGAUGGAUCGGGCCUGCACCGAGGAAGUGGCGGAGACGGAGAAGAAGAAGAGUCCGGGACAGCGCGAUUCCGGCAAAAAGAGAUUCGGGAUGAAGAUUUUCCGGUGGGGGAAUAAGAUCCACCCGAACGGUAGCCAGCCUGCCGUAAAAUCUGCGAACAACGUGCCGGAGUCGCUUUGAGUGCGUUUCAGAGGGCAGGUAGAGAAUCUGAUUCCUUUUUAGUGCGGCCGGGAAUUAUGUCAUCUCGAAGCGUUCAAUUAUGGCUGGUGAACGGGCUGAAGAAGCGUAGCUCUCCUUGUUCAGGAUCAUCGCGUACGCAUGAUAAACCAGCUUAAACGUUACGGCCUGAGAAACAGCCGGCAGGUUCUCAAGAAACAAGUUGCUCUUUUCAUGUGAUUCCACGGCUUGACUAUAGAGUAUUCCAACCAUACGAGCAAUGUGACGAUCUUGUACACUUCAAAUACGUCAAUACAUAUAUAAUAUAUACAUAUAAUGUAUGAAA